CCUGGUGCUUGCACCGGGUGAUCAGUGGCGAACGGGUGAGUAACACGUGAGUAACCUGCCCCAGACUCUGGGAUAACUUCGGGAAAUCGGAGCUAAUACCGGAUACGAGACGCACACGCAUGUGUAGCGUCUGGAAAGAAUUUCGGUCUGGGAUGGACUCGCGGCCUAUCAGCUUGUUGGUGGGGUAAUGGCCUACCAAGGCGACGACGGGUAGCCGGCCUGAGAGGGCGACCGGCCACACUGGGACUGAGACACGGCCCAGACUCCUACGGGAGGCAGCAGUGGGGAAUAUUGCACAAUGGGCGCAAGCCUGAUGCAGCGACGCCGCGUGGGGGAUGAAGGCCUUCGGGUUGUAAACCCCUUUCAGCAGGGAAGAAGCGAGAGUGACGGUACCUGCAGAAGAAGCGCCGGCUAACUACGUGCCAGCAGCCGCGGUAAUACGUAGGGCGCAAGCGUUGUCCGGAAUUAUUGGGCGUAAAGAGCUCGUAGGCGGUUUGUCGCGUCUGCUGUGAAAACCCGAGGCUCAACCUCGGGCCUGCAGUGGGUACGGGCAGACUAGAGUGCGGUAGGGGAGACUGGAAUUCCUGGUGUAGCGGUGGAAUGCGCAGAUAUCAGGAGGAACACCGAUGGCGAAGGCAGGUCUCUGGGCCGCAACUGACGCUGAGGAGCGAAAGCAUGGGGAGCGAACAGGAUUAGAUACCCUGGUAGUCCAUGCCGUAAACGUUGGGCACUAGGUGUGGGGCUCA
rnacentral:rRNA from 1 species